AAGAAAACGAUGAUUGGGACACGGGUCGUUGGACUCAUGGCAUAGAGAACUGAGCAGAUGGUGGAAGCCAGUCCAGAAGUCCACGAACUCAUCCCCCAGGAGUGCUCGGGCGAAUCCUAUAUAGUAGUUCGAGCCGGUUAUGCCCGUUACGCAUCUGAGAGCCUGAUACCUUCUUGGUGUCAGGAAUGAGGGUGGUACCGCGGCACAACGUCCCUUUU
rnacentral:ncRNA from 1 species